rnacentral:lncRNA from 1 species
UCCCCCUAAUGCUACAAGAUCUCAUGAUUUACCCCCCUCCCCCCAGUAUGGAAUACCAUGGCCUGAGCUGCUGCCAUUGGGCUUCUCCUUGUUGCUUCUUCCUCCAUCUCCCCACCAUCUUUCCACCAUUACAGUUUGGCUAUAUUACCUUACUCUGGAUUCAUUGACUCUUGCGUCAAACCCCCAUCAGUCAGACUGACACAAUGGUGCCAAAAUCAAGGAACUGGUCAGGUGCAAUUCAGCCACCCACCUACAGUCAUUUCCUGUGAGGAGGUCUUCACCUUGGAACUUGACCAUGGAGGAGCUUGGGCUUGAGAUCUCACACUGCUUCCCCUUGGACUGCCACAUGUCUUUCUCCAGUGAAAUCCAGCUCAGCCCAGGCAGGGGCUUCCCCAAGAUUCUGUCUCUAUGUGAAUUUCCCAGUAAUCCUCAGCCAGAAGUUGUGUCCUCAGCCUGGUGGUGUCUUCAGCCAGUGUUCCACCAACAUAGCCUCCUCCAAAUCCAAGGUAGGAAUCUCAGCCACUCACCCAGCAAGCUGAUGCAGGAUUCAGGGGGAAAGUUUCCUUCAAUGCCAGGAAAGGAAUCUCUGGAACCAACCUUUCCAAACAUCAGGAAGGGAAUGAAUGAUAGACCAUGCUGGUCUCUUCUUUUAUGCUUCUUUUUCCACAUCAGUUCUUGUCACUUCCUGUCACUCCCCUGUCUUCACAAAAACCAAUGGCAGUCUUUCAAUUUGCCUAGCACUGUCCAAGGGAAAGGGCACUGGCUUUUGGAGGUAUGAGCUUACUUUCUUAUUUAAUGAUAAGUAGGGGUAUUUUAAGUUCUUUAUUUGAUUAGCUAAAAAUAGAUAAGGGGAGAGUUAAUCCUAUCUUCACAGUACCCAGAAGACUUAUAAUUGAAGCAUAUUUCCUAAAUUCUGACAUUUUCACAGGUCCCCUGUGUGUAUCCAUUAUGCUUCACUAUGUUUAUAUGUUACAAAGGGAUUUUAUUAUUUUCAUUUUCUUUUUCUCACUUCCAUUUUGUAAAAAUUAAAUUAUAUCUCUAAUAAUAAAAAUAUUAUAUUUCAUGAGGUUUAUUAAGGA